rnacentral:lncRNA from 1 species
GUGUAGACUGAGAGUGAAAUUUUAUAUUGUUAGUUAGGUGAUUCUUAGGGUCGGUCUUCACCAUUUGAGUAAUGUUGUGUUGUGUCGAGCUGCUAUAUACAAGGUGAGUAUUCUCACCAUAUUACCUAUGUCAUAAUGGGGUGCAUGCUAGACUAACUAAGUCUUAUUUGUUGAUUUUUGUUAUGUGUGUUAUUUGAGUUGUUAAUAACUCCAGGACUAUUGAAAGCCGUUGUUGAUAACCCAUAUGGUUGCUGAGAGCCCAUAGGACUGCUGAUAGUCCUCGGGUUGCUGAUAGCCCAUAGUUGUUUAUUAUGUUGUGUUGUAUGUGAUAUUUAGGGUAACUUACUAAGCUUCACACUUGUUGUUUGUGGAUUUAAAUGUGUUUUAGGUACUUAAUAUGAUUGUGAGAAGACGAAUGCUAGAUUGUACACUCUCAUCGACAUCUUUCAUGAUUUCGUAUUGUUAUGAUACUUUGAUUUUUGGGAUGAUUGUAUUUUAAUACUUAUGGUUUCAUGACUUGGUUUUUCUUAGAAACAAUGAUUUUACUUAAUUUAAAAAUGAAAAUUUUGGUUGUGAAAAUCAUGACGUUACAAACCACAAGACUACAUCACAUAAUUUUGUCUUUAUUAAAUUAGAGGUUUAUAUGUUUAGAUAUUUUAAAUUUCUUUCUGGAGCAUUUAUCAAUUACAUUUAUUUUUAUUUUAUUUUGAAAAAGUGUAAAAAAUAACUUGAUUUGAGGAAUUUUCAAUUGAAUUGUAAAUCCUAUAUUUGCACUUUUAUAUUUGCACUUUUUCUUGGUGUAAAUUUGCAUCAAUGCAACACAAUUUUUUACAUCAAAUAUGAUAUUGAUAAAUGGUAUAAACCAAGAGAAAUUAAAUAUCCUCCUACAUUUUAUUUCUAAUAUUCUUCUACCUAUAUUAAAUGGUGAUAAGUGGACUAAAAUAUUAUCAAUUUCAUUAUAUAUGUCAUUAAAUAUGCCACAUAUCAAUAUUUUAUAGGAUAAGAAGAUAAGUAGGAAUAAAAUGUAGGAGGACAUUAAAUUUCUCAUAAACCAAAUAUGUUGUUAAAAUAUUCAUUAACACCAAAUAUAUUUGAAUAUUUCUUUUACAUAUAACUCCUUCAACUUUGAAUUUAUUCACAUUUAGUUUGUUAUACACCACUAUAAAAUAUGUCUUUAAUGACAUACAUUACGUGUCAUAAAAGGGGACAAAUGACAUGCAAAUACAUGUCUAUAACCCUCGUCAUAAAGAAAGAUGGCAUGCAAUUGUGUUUCAUAAAUUUACAACGUGCAAUAUAGUUUGCAUAUGCUUGUUAUAAUGGCCCCAAGAGUCACUCACUUGCAUGGUUUAGGUCGAAUAACUUGUUAUAACAACAAUUUUGAGCAUAUAACCUAGUAACUUGUUACAUUGAGAAACUUCCUUAAAAUGUGUAACUUGUUACCUUGAAAAGCAAUGGAAGAAUGAUCUUCACAAUUAACAUACAAAAGGAAGGAAAUGAGCAUUUAGGAUGAUGUUUCCUUUCUUUAUAUUAGCUUUAAAUUGGGUUUGUUCAAGGAAAAAAAACUAGAAGUGGGAGAGGGUUGCCAAAAUUUAACGAUAGGGUGGUUGUCGGAAAAAGUGAAGGAUUAUGAAGGUUGUGGGAGAAGAAGAUUGCCAAAAAUUACUCAAGAUGGGUGAAGGAUGGCGGUGAUAAAAGAAGAUGGUCAUUGGUUUGGAAAAUAGUAAAAUGACUCAAAUACCCCUCAUAUGAGGGGCACAUGAGGGUGGUUAACGGAUUCAAUAAAAAAGUAACAAAGAUAUGGACGAAAUGUGUAAUCGAAACCUAAAAUAAGGACCAAUUUUGACAAAUUUGAAAAAUAGGACUAAAUUUGUAAAAUCAUACUAAUACAUGGAUCAUUUUUGUAGUUUAGUCUUUAUUCUAUUUUGUUUUGGGAAAAUAACACAAAUGUCCUACGAGUUAUAAGGUUUACCCGUUCAGUCUCUAAAGCUUUUGUCGGGCAUUAUAGAUCCUUAAACUAGGAUAUGACAUGGUCUUUUAGUCGUUAUCAACCUGUAAUAGCCCGUUCAGUGACCUUUUAGAUAAAAAAACCUCACAGUAUACCCUAUAAAUUAAAAAAAAAAAAAGUUCGGAGGUCAAUACGAAUUAAGUGUGAGUCGAUUUUAGAAGAAAAUCAGAGGUUUUUUUUUUUUUUUUUUGAUCCCCAAACUUAUUUUUUUUGCUUUAUAAGAACACUUUAUGAGUUUUUUUAAUCUAAAAUAUCAGUAAACCGAUUAUUAUAGUAUAGGUUGAUAUGAUCUAAAAGAAUCAUCUAGACAAGGGACUCGGGUAACCCUAGAAAAUGCAUUUCCCUUUGUUUUUUACCGCACUCCUCCAUUUCCCUUUCCAGUUAAAACCCUUCCCACCCCUCCGUUUGUUCUCCGCUUCCUCUUCCGUCGACUCGACGGUGUCACGCUUAUAGAAUCCACUAUGAANAAAAUUUUAGUUGUGAAAAUCAUGACGUUACAAACCACAAGACUACAUCACAUAAUUUUGUCUUUAUUAAAUUAGAGGUUUAUAUGUUUAGAUAUUUUAAAUUUCUUUCUGGAGCAUUUAUCAAUUACAUUUAUUUUUAUUUUAUUUUGAAAAAGUGUAAAAAAUAACUUGAUUUGAGGAAUUUUCAAUUGAAUUGUAAAUCCUAUAUUUGCACUUUUUCUUGGUGUAAAUUUGCAUCAAUGCAACAUAAUUUUUUACAUCAAAUAUGAUAUUGAUAAAUGGUAUAAACCAAGAGAAAUAAAAUAUCCUCCUACAUUUUAUUCCUAAUAUUCUUCUACCUAUAUUAAAUGGUGAUAAGUGGAUUAAAAUAUUAUCAAUUUCAUUAUAUAUAUCAUUAAAUAUGUCACAUGUCAACAUUUUAUAGGAUAAGAAGAUAAGUAGGAAUAAAAUGUAGGAGGAUAUUUAAUUUCUCAUAAACCAAAUAUGUUGUUAAAAUAUUCAUUAACACCAAAUAUAUUUUUUGAAUAUUUCUUUUACAAAUAACUCCUUCAACUUUGAAUUUAUUCACAUUUAGUUUGUUAUACACUACUAUAAAAUAUGUCUUUAAUGACACACAUUACGUGUCAUAAAAGGGGACAAAUGGCAUGCAAAUACAUGUCUUUAACCCUCGUCAUAAAGAAAGAUGGCAUGCAAUUGUGUUUCAUAAAUUUACAACGUGCAAUAUAGUUUACAUAUGCUUGGAUUAAUGGCCCCAAGAGUCACUCACUUGCAUGGUUUAGGUCGAAUAACUUGUUAUAACAACAAUUUUGAGC